rnacentral:rRNA from 1 species
UGUAGCUGUGCUCCUCUGACGUUAGCGGCGGACGGGUGAGUAACACGUGGAUAACCUACCUAUAAGACUGGGAUAACUUCGGGAAACCGGAGCUAAUACCGGAUAAUAUAUUGAACCGCAUGGUUCAAUAGUGAAAGACGGUUUUGCUGUCACUUAUAGAUGGAUCCGCGCCGCAUUAGCUAGUUGGUAAGGUAACGGCUUACCAAGGCAACGAUGCGUAGCCGACCUGAGAGGGUGAUCGGCCACACUGGAACUGAGACACGGUCCAGACUCCUACGGGAGGCAGCAGUAGGGAAUCUUCCGCAAUGGGCGAAAGCCUGACGGAGCAACGCCGCGUGAGUGAUGAAGGUCUUCGGAUCGUAAAACUCUGUUAUUAGGGAAGAACAAAUGUGUAAGUAACUAUGCACGUCUUGACGGUACCUAAUCAGAAAGCCACGGCUAACUACGUGCCAGCAGCCGCGGUAAUACGUAGGUGGCAAGCGUUAUCCGGAAUUAUUGGGCGUAAAGCGCGCGUAGGCGGCUUUUUUAAGUUCUGAUGUGAAAGCCCACGGCUUCAACCCCGGAGGGUGCAUUGGAAACUGGAAAACUUGAGUGCGGGAAGAGGAGAGUGGAAUUCCAUGUGUAGCGGUGAAAUGCGCAGAUAUCUGGAGGAACACCGGUGGCGAAGGCGACUUUCUGGGCCGAAACUGACGCUGAGGAGCGAAAGCGUGGGGAGCGAACAGGAUUAGAUACCCUGGUAGUCCACGCCGUAAACGAUGAGCGCUAGGUGUUGGGAGCAUUCCACGCCCUUAGUGCUGCAGCUAACGCAUUAAGUGCUCCGCCUGGGGAGUACGGCCGCAAGGCUAAAACUCAAAGGAAUUGACGGGGGCCCGCACAAGCGGCGGAGCAUGUGGCUUAAUUCGACGCAACGCGAAGAACCUUACCAAGGCUUGACAUACACCGGAAACGUCUGGAGACAGGCGCCCCCUUGUGGUCGGUGUACAGGUGGUGCAUGGCUGUCGUCAGCUCGUGUCGUGAGAUGUUGGGUUAAGUCCCGCAACGAGCGCAACCCUUGUCCCGUGUUGCCAGCAGGCCCUUGUGGUGCUGGGGACUCACGGGAGACCGCCGGGGUCAACUCGGAGGAAGGUGGGGACGACGUCAAGUCAUCAUGCCCCUUAUGUCUUGGGCUGCACACGUGCUACAAUGGCCGGUACAAUGAGCUGCGAUACCGUGAGGUGGAGCGAAUCUCAAAAAGCCGGUCUCAGUUCGGAUUGGGGUCUGCAACUCGACCCCAUGAAGUCGGAGUCGCUAGUAAUCGCAGAUCAGCAUUGCUGCGGUGAAUACGUUCCCGGGCCGCUACACACCG